GGGGGCGGCGGCGGCGGCGGGGCGGGCAACCCGGCCAAGAAGAAGAGGAAAAGGUGCGGGGUGUGCGUGCCCUGCAAGAGGCUCAUCAACUGCGGCGUGUGCAGCAGUUGCAGGAACCGCAAAACGGGACACCAGAUCUGCAAGUUUAGGAAAUGCGAGGAGCUCAAGAAAAAACCGGGCACUUCGCUAGAGGUCAGAGGAGAUGAUUUCUUUUUCCCCACCAGCAGCAGCAGCAGCAGCAGCCUCCCCCCGUCGGGCCUCAACCCCCUGCCCCCGCCCCUGCAGUGCUUCUUGUCCAGCUUCAAGAUGCAUCACCCCUUCUCCGAAGCCUCCUUCAGGCAUAUGAUAUAACUCUCAAGAGAACACCUGUUCCCAGCGCUGAAGCAUUCCGAUGGUUCUUUUAAGCAGUAGUAUAUCUUAUUUUCAAGGCAGUCCGAAGUGAAUGGCAAGCUAAAGUCUUGUUUUAAGAAACUGCUUAGUUCACCAUUGAAGAAUAUACUCAGAUACUAUUUUCAUUUAUGUAUAGGGGUUUCCUCAAAAACAAAACAUAAAAAAUCUGGAAGCCUGGGGAAUUGGCCAGUUUAUUCACAUUCAGUACACUGAUUCUUUCUUUGAUGUAACUUAGCUAUACUAGUGAAGUUGUUGUCUAUUUUUAAAGUGGCUGUAAAAAAAAAAAAGUUUGGGUAAACCCCUGCUAUAAAGUCAUGUAUCUUUGAAAAGUAACAUAACUAUACUUCAUUUUCAAAUAUAUGUGUUUCAGUACUGUAAACUGUACAGAUAGCAGCUUGUAUUUUGUGUGUUUAGACACAAGGAGACAAUCAUGUCUGAGCAUCUAUGGAGAUUAACGGUUUGUACACAACAGUGUGGAUCUGCGAGUUAAAUCUGGAGCAAUAAAUUCUAGCUUUAAAUAUUAUUUUGCCAGUUGUUUAGUAGCAGCAGCAGCACUGUUUUACCAUGCAUCCUUCCAUAGAGACUUGAUGCCAAGUUUUACAAGAUUAAAAGAUUAUGAUGCAUCUAGCAAUUACCUUCCGUUGUAUUGUUGUAAGAGGGGAAGACAUAAAAUUUAAAAUUAAUCUUUUUGAGCACUAUAUUAGAGUAGUGGUUAUGCACUUGCAUUGCUUCCAAAGGAGCUUUAUGGAAGGGUGUCCCUCCAAAGUGACGUACCAUAGUGGACUUGCUUUUGAUCGAGCUGUACGGUGGAGUGCACAGCACAGAUAGACAUGCAGAACCAGUUAUAUAUAUAUAAACCUUGUUCUAGGAUACAUAAUGAAAAAAGUACCAUAUGUUCAAAAAAAUUGUGAUGCAAUAUAUACCUUCCCACUAAGAAUUGUUAUGUAGGUUUUUCGAUAGAUGGAAUAAUAACUUUAUAAAAUAUAUAAAAAUAUUUUCGCUCCAUGUGCAACCUAUAGUGGUUAGACAAGUUUACAAAUGUAGGGUCUCUCCUGCAAUUCUGCAGGAUGUGAGAGCCUAGAUAUUUUUUAAAUUAUGAAAAUUAACCCUUUUUUUAAAAGAGUGGCUACUUAUCCCCACACAUCUUUCUUUGUCCACUUAUCCCGGCCUUGCUGAAUCACUGGUCCCUGAGGCCCUCGAUGGAAUGCUGCACCAUUCUUUCUCCUGUUAUGGAGGACACUGAACUUACAGACACUUCAUAAAGAUUACCUCAUCACUUAUUUAUAGUCUGGCUUUGUCAGACCACUUAUGAUUGAAAAGGCCAUCCCAUCAGAGUAAGAGAAUGCUGUUAUGUCAUGUACCAUAUAUAUUUAUUAUUUUAUAUACACAAUAAGAUUAGAAGUACUAGUAGCUUUACAGACCAGGUACCAACUAUGAAAGUAAUUGAUUAAUGAUGCAGAGAAUGUUCAAACAGUAUUGUAUGAGCACAGUCUCCAUUAUCUGCUAACUAUUUCCAUUGGCACGUGUUCACACACACUUGCUUGAGGAACACUGGAUGGUAGGGAGAGCAGCAGAGUGUGUCAUCCACUGACUGGGGAGAGUCAGAGUCUUGUGCGGAUGGGGGGAGGGCUUGUGGUCCAAGGACUGAGGAACAUUGAGAAUGGUCAAGAAACCUAAGACCAGCAGAGAUGGAGGAAGAGCAGCAUCUUAAAUUUGUGUGUAGGCAACAAAGAUUGGUAGAGCAUAGGUCUGCUAGGACCAGAGUAGAAGAGCAUCAGAGGAUGAAUGUUAUGAGAUGGAAGAGUUUGCAUAUGCAUUUUCAGCAGUAGGACUGAAAUACAUAUCCUGGGUCUUGUGUAGUAUGACAUCAUAUAUAUAAUUUCUGGAAAAUAUGUCAUAUUUGAAAUGCUUCUAGUAUAUGCCCCUCUCUUAUAUUUUAUAAAACUCCAUGAAUUAAAUGACCAUAGUGUGAGCUUACAUGUGUUUACUUGGCAGCUUUGUACUGGUUGUUAUUUAAUUUGAGACUUUCUGGUCAGGGCCUCUGUUAUUUACUGCUGGACCAAUAAGAGCUAUGUAAGAUCUUCUUUACCAAAUUGCUAAUUGAUUUAAAAAAACGAUGGAAGCCUUAUUUGCACAUCUGGCUGGUGAACUUGCCUUGCUUUUUUGAAAAUUGUGAUUGCUCUUACAGAAGUAGAGAAAUAAAUUCAGUUCAGGCUACAUUAGGUGUACAAAGAUAUUCAUAGCAAUGUACUUACUGUCUAAUACCCUAAUGUUGCAUGUCUUGAUGUGGUUUUUUUGUUUUGUUCUGUUGUUUUGUUUUAAAAAACUGAUGGAUCUGUAUAUUGUAAUUGUGGUGUUUUACAUGUCAAUUCAAAAUUGUUAAAAAAACCAAACCUGUUGAUUAUUAAAAAUGAACAACGGUUGAUUUUUUUAUUAUUUCCACUUAUGCUUUUGAUUUUGGAUAUUGUUCCUGAACAUCAUCAAGAUUUUACAAUUUGGUAAAACAAUAUUUCUAUAAUGUAGUAUGUAUAGAGAUUUUUUUCAUUAUUGAUGUUUGAAGAAGGAAAUCUCUUUUCUGGCCUCUCUCUUUCUCUCUCCUAUACAAAGUAUAUUAAUACUUGUAAAUCAGAUUAUUGUCAAAUUCUGAUGACUGAAAUUGUGCUUUUCAUAAGAUCCUAAAAUACUUCAUAAUAAGAACAUUUUUAUUCCUCUAUGUUUUUCUUUUCCACAGCACAAAAAAUGCAGAACACACCUUUGGUCUUCUAGGUGUGAGCACUAAGUGUGCAUAAUAGAUAAUUUCUUUUUGUCUUACCCCAGAACAAUCUAUUAAAUUAUAAGGCUGGUAGGGCGGCACAUAUGCAUACACAGUGUGUGAAUUAAUAGCAGAUACUCCCUAAGAGAAAGAAAAUAUUCCCUUUUGUUCAGAACCCCUGGUAUGUAAGUCAUACAAUUAAUGCUAAAGAAUAUAAAGUCUUUAAACUGGCUCUAUCUGUAAUCAAAUAAUGAAGAAAGAAAGUAGUUAAAUGAACAUACCAUUCAGGGUCGAAUACAUUCAGCAAAAAGCAGUAGUGGGUCUUUGAUCAUGGUUAGAUGCAUAGUGAUAUCAAACAGUUGGUUCUCAUGUAACAGCUAAAUGUUUCAGAUUUUGUUUUUAUUAAAUUUGGCAGUUUCACACUGAGAUCUACUGUAUUCCUAGUGAAUAAAAGACAGCGCCUCUGUUAGAAAGUAUUCCAUUUUCACAAUUGCAGGGAACUAGGAGAUUUUUCAGAAACAUGGGCCACAGAAAUGUACUCCUUUCACAGUGUUCUCCUAUUUCUGAACUGUGCAGUUAUCUAUUAAAUUUUCUAAUAGAUAUUUGUGUAAGGUGUAUGUAUGCUUGUGCAAUUAUGAAAAAAGCAGUUUUGGAAAACAGUGUAUUUAUU